GCCUUCGUGGUGUAGUGGUCAGCAUGCUGGACUCGUAUUCCAGAGGUCCGUGGUUCGAGUCCCGGCGAGGGCG
rfam:Stegodyphus mimosarum contig37262, whole genome shotgun sequence.